rnacentral:rRNA from 1 species
UACGUAGGGGGCAAGCGUUGUCCGGAUUUAUUGGGCGUAAAGCGCGUGUAGGCGGCCAGAUAGGUCUGCUGUGAAAACUCGAGGCUCAACCUCGAGCUGUCGGCGGAAACCAUCUGGCUAGAGUCCGGAAGAGGAGAGUGGAAUUCCUGGUGUAGCGGUGAAAUGCGCAGAUAUCAGGAAGAACACCUAUGGCAAAGGCAGCUCUCUGGGACGGUACUGACGCUGAGACGCGAAAGCGUGGGGAGCGAACAGG